GUUCAGGUUAGGUUAAAGGGGGGUCGGUGGAAGGCUGGUUAAACCGUUUGGUUUACGACCACUACGACCCGGGUUCGAUCCCCGCAUUGAACA
rnacentral:tRNA from 1 species